rnacentral:piRNA from 1 species
UACCUCUAGGGACCAAAUUGGUCAGAGCAGGU